CAGCCGCCGCGGUAAAACGUAGGGUGCGAGCGUUAAUCGGAAUUACUGGGCGUAAAGCGUGCGCAGGCGGUUCGUUAAGACAGAUGUGAAAUCCCCGGGCUUAACCUGGGAACUGCAUUUGUGACUGGCGAGCUAGAGUAUGGCAGAGGGGGGUGGAAUUCCGCGUGUAGCAGUGAAAUGCGUAGAUAUGCGGAGGAACACCGAUGGCGAAGGCAGCCCCCUGGGCCAAUACUGACGCUCAUGCACGAAAGCGUGGGGAGCAAACAGGAUUAGAUACCCCUGUAGUCCCUGUCUCUUAUAC
rnacentral:rRNA from 1 species